GUGGAUGUGGCCACACCAAAACGGGCGGUGAACCAAUAUACAUCUUCUCUGUCUCUCUCUCCCCCUCUAUUAGGAUCCAUGUACAAACAAUAGCGAGAUCGGCUAUUUGUUUCGGUGCAGAGGCAAAGAGAGAGACUGUGAAAGGAGAAGAGGAGUAAUCGAUCUAGAUUUGUUUAAUCAAUACCAGUAAAAGCUUGGUACAGUGAUCGAUUUCCCAGCUUUUAACCGUCUGUGCAACCUGUACUUUAAUUAGCUUUUCAAUCGCUCCGACAACCAAAAUUUUCUGAUACUCUCAGAGACAAAAGUUGAACUAAAAACAAAUAAAAGAGAGACACAAAUAAAAAUUUUACUUGAAGAGGCACCUGACUGGAAGCUUCCCACUCCACGCAAGCCAAUACCAUGGGUAUUGUUGGAAUAGGAUUUGUCCCAAAACAAGGGUGGUGUAUUAAGAAAUUUGGGGUGUGUAUAUAAAACUUCUCUUAAACAUGCAAUGCUAGUCAUAGAAAGCUACUCACUAACAAAACAUAUUUAACGCAUAAAGAUCAAUGAAAGUUUGAUUGAUUUAAGCCAAACAUACAAGUUAGAACACUAAUCAAGCAUGCAAGACUCAUUGUUGAUUUACUUAAGGAACUAUAGGUUUCCCACUUAGCAAUUAAGACCUAAAUUACUAGCAUAUCUUAGUUUGAAUUCAAUUACAUGCUUAAUAUUCUAAGUUUGCAACCAAAGAACACAAAAUAUUUAAAAGGUGGGAUUGAAAAACAAAACAAACAAUCAAAAUUCAUCACACAUUGAAGUCGCAAUUUAUGUUUGUAGAAACCUAAAACGUUUUCAUACUUCAUGGUUAUUGGAAACUAAAUAUCAAAAUGUAAACUCAAUCAUCACAAGUAAUCGAAAUUUUCAUUUAAACAAACAAAGAUUUCUAAUUGUUAUACAAACAUAUGAAAAUGAAAGCAAAGAGUUUAUAGUCAUGGUUACACUUUUAAAAAACUUCAAGAACGCAAGAUGAUCUUCAAGAGGAUGAAGGAGGAUCAUGGCAAGGAUAUGUAUGGAGGAUGAUGGCUCUUUGCUUCACGGCUUGCACUAUGGAAGAAUUGUCGAAACUAGAGAGAAAGAGGGGAGAUGUUUGUGUUUUCUGAUUUUGGGAUUUGAUGAUGAAUAAAACGUCUUGCAUAGCUCUCUAAAUAUAGAAGACGGCAAGGGUUGAUGUUUGGAGUGCACUCUACUUCUUCUGCAUCACCUGACCACUCAAAAUAUUCCAAAGGAAGUAGAGAUCAACCUUGAAUAUAGAAACAAGGAGU